CUAAGUGGUGUGUGUGUUUCUGUCUGCAUGCACAUGUGUGUGUAUGCACGUGGAGACCAGUAGACAGCAUCUGGUGUUAAGCUCCUGUGUCAUUUACUUUAUAUUGUUUUAAAAGACAAGCUCCCUCUUUUACCGAGACCCGCCAACAUGGGCCGCGUUCGCACCAAGACCGUGAAGAAGGCUGCCCGGGUCAUCAUCGAGAAGUACUACACGCGUCUGGGUAAUGACUUCCACACCAACAAGCGCGUGUGCAAGGAGAUCGCCAUUAUCCCCAGCAAGAAGCUUCGGAACAAAAUAGCCGGCUAUGUCACGCAUCUGAUGAAGCGGAUUCAGAGAGGUCCUGUGAGAGGCAUCUCUAUCAAGUUGCAGGAAGACGAGAGAGAGAGAGAGAGGAGAGAUAAUUACGUUCCUGAGGUCUCAGCCCUAGAUCAGGAGAUCAUUGAGGUGGAUCCUGACACCAAGGAGAUGCUGAAGCUUCUGGACUUUGGCAGUCUCUCUAACCUUCAGGUCACUCAGCCUACAGUUGGCAUGAAUUUCACAACACCACGUGGAGCUGUUUAAUCUGUUAUGCCAUAUUUUCAAUAAACCUGAAAACAAGAAAAGAAAAGAAAAGAAAAAAAAAAAAAAAAGACGAGCUCCUCCACUGCCUGAGCUUGCUGGCCUGCAGUUCAGGGCCAGGCCGCUCCUCCCCAGGACUAGGAUUACACAUACUCACCACCACGCCUGUCUUUUCUAAAUGUAGGCUGUGGGAUGGAACCCAAGUGUUCAUGCUUGCAAGGCAGUUCCUUUGCCUCAGAGCUGACUACAGUCCUCAGGGGACUGUUUUCCUCUUCAGUGUCACAGGCUUUAGUCCUUUAUAUUCAGGAACUCAUCAUAGACUAGAAAUGCUGACUUUGUUUGUUAAAAGUUGUAGAUAUGGUUGGAGGCGUAGCUCAGUGGGACAGCACCUGCUCAGCAUGCAUAGAGUCAGUCCCAAUGACCACCAAAAAGCUUUUUCUUAAUUAAAUUCAAAAGCAGCCCAGCUGAGACUGAGCUAAGCCUAGCAUGUAGAGUGUGUGUGUGUGUGUGUGUGUAUGUGUGUGUGUGUGUUGAGCGUUUAGCUAGAAGGAUUGUGAGCUCAGGGCAGCCUGAUUUAUAUAGUGAAUUCAAGACUAGGCUAUAUAACAGGAUUCUGCCUCAAACAAGACAAAAUGAAAAUGAAAGGAGGAGGAGAUGGAAGAGAUAAAGGAAAAAAAAGAAGAAAUUAUAGAUAAGUUUUUCUGUUUGCUGUUUGUACUUUUCCUUAUUUAUUUCAGGAGCUUCUGUUAUUGUAUGCUAUAUAGAAGUUUCUGUUUAGACAGGACCAGACUGUGUGGC